AUUGAACGCUGGCGGCAGGCCUAACACAUGCAAGUCGAGCGAGCGGCGGACGGGUGAGUAAUGUAUGGGGACUGCCCGAUAGAGGGGGAUAACUCCUGGAAACGGUGGCUAAUACCGCAUACUAUCGGAUAACCCAUAUGGGAUUUGCUAGUAGGUGGGGUAAAGGCUCACCUAGGCGACGAUCUCUAGCUGGUCUGAGAGGCUGAUCAUCCACACUGGGACUGAGACACGUGCCAGACACCUACGGAGGCAGCAGAGGGGAAUAUUGAACAAUGGGCGCGAGCCUGAUGAAGCCAUGGCGCGUGUAUGAAGAAGGCCGUAGGGUUGUAAAGUACUUUCAGCGGGGAGGCGUUACCCGCAGAAGAAGCACCGGCUAACACCGUGCCAGCAGCCGCGGUAAUAC
rnacentral:rRNA from 1 species